rnacentral:rRNA from 1 species
UGCAGGUCCCUGCCGGACCCGACUGCUAUCAGAGUGGGACUAAGCCAUGCGAGUCAACGUAGCAAUGCGUGGCGAACGGCUCAGUAACACGUAGUCAACAUGCCCAGGGGACGUGGAUAACCUCGGGAAACUGAGAUUAAACCGCGAUAGGUCAAGAUUUCCGGAAUGGAUCGUGUCUUAAAUCUACAUGGCCCCUGGAUUGGACUGCGGCCGAUCAGGCUGUUGGUGAGGUAAUGGCCCACCAAACCUAUAACCGGUACGGGCUCUGAGAGGAGAAGCCCGGAGAUGGGCACUGAGACAAGGGCCCAGGCCCUAUGGGGCGCAGCAGGCGCGAAACCUCUGCAAUGGGCGAAAGCCUGACAGGGUUACUCUGAGUGAUUUCCGCUAAGGAGAUCUUUUGGCAGCUCUAAAAAUGGUGCAGAAUAAGGGGUGGGCAAGUCUGGUGUCAGCCGCCGCGGUAAUACCAGCACCCCGAGUGGUCGGGACGAUUAUUGGGCCUAAAGCAUCCGUAGCCGGUUGUGCAAGUCCUCCGUUAAAUCCAGCCGCUCAACGGAUGGGCUGCGGAGGAUACUACAGGACUAGGAGGCGGGAGAGGCAAGCGGUACUUAGUGGGUAGGGGUAAAAUCCUUUGAUCCAUUGAAGACCACCAGUGGCGAAGGCGGCUUGCCAGAACGCGCUCGACGGUGAGGGAUGAAAGCUGGGGGAGCAAACCGGAUUAGAUACCCGGGUAGUCCCAGCUGUAAACGAUGCAGACUCGGUGAUGGGCUAGCCUCGUGUCAGCCCAGUGCCGCAGGGAAGCCGUUAAGUCUGCCGCCUGGGGAGUACGGUCGCAAGACUGAAACUUAAAGGAAUUGGCGGGGGAGCACCACAAGGGGUGAAGCCUGCGGUUUCAUUG